UGUAGGAGAAAUUUAGGGAAUUUACCUUUUCUUUUAAUAUUUACUUAUUUCACGUUUUCUAUUUUGUUUAAGGGUUUUCUAUUUUAUGUUUUGGUUUUAUUCUCUAUAUAUAUAGAGAUCCUAGGUUAUUUAACGGAGAUGUUUUUUUAUUCUAAUUAAUAAGAACAGAGAGCUUUCUCUUUUCCUGGUGGAUUCCAGACCCUUUUCUGGUGGAUUCCAGAGUUUUAUCAUUAAGUUCGUCGCUAGCGAACUUGAUUUCUAUCUAGGCAUAGUGUUUGCUAUUCCUAGAGAUUCCGACUGCGUCAAGUGGUAUCAGAGC
rnacentral:lncRNA from 1 species